UUAAAGCCCGAAUGCAAGCGAUCUAACUUUGAAGAGUGUUUAGUUGAGUAUACUGAAGAUUGAAAUGUAGAGGGGUACACACCUGCCAUUCAAUUGAUAGUUGGUGGUUAAAUGUCAUACGAGCUGUGUUAAUAUCUGGGUGUGUUCGAAACAUGUAAUGGUGUCUAAUAAAUGUUGUCCACAGAUUGUUGUUAAAUGAUUUAAUUGAAACCCGAAUGCCUUUCACAGAUUCUUUAAGAGAAGUAUUAUUAUUAGUCAUUUGCAAUUCGGUUAAGAUGGGUAUUCGCUUAUGUUACAAAUGGGAUUAGCCCAAAUAAAUGGUUAAAGUUUAGAAUGCUGUGUUUUCAAUCAAAUUAUCUAUGGGUUUUCAGAUACACACCUUACACAGCUCUAAAGUUGGAUUAAUAGCAUCCAUCUUUUUAAAAGUGUGUAGUAUCUUAUGAGCUCUGUUUUCCGAAUGGAUAAUCAGAUGCCUAUGUAUGUGUUUCCAAAAGACAAAUAUUGCUGAAGCUCGUUUAAGUUAAGAUAGAAUAUUGUCCACAAUAAACCAUAGCUGUGGUGUAAUUAAGCUGUGGUGUAAAAAUUGCAAUUCAAGUAAUUGUAAUUCGUGUUAACCUAAUAAUAUAUCCAAUACUUUGUUAUCGCUGUCACACACAUUGCAAGAUUCAAUUCCUCAAGCGAGAUCCUUUUAGUUGUAGCUGAAGGGUU
rnacentral:rRNA from 14 species